AGUGAACGCUGGCGGUAGGCCUAACACAUGCAAGUCGAACGGCAGCACAGUAAGAGCUUGCUCUUACGGGUGGCGAGUGGCGGACGGGUGAGGAAUACAUCGGAAUCUACUUUUUCGUGGAUAACGUAGGGAAACUUACGCUAAUACCGCAUACGACCUACGGGUGAAAGCAGGGGAUCUUCGGACCUUGCGCGAUUGAAGGAGCCGAUGUCGGAUUAGCUAGUUGGCGGGGUAAAGGCCCACCAAGGCGACGAUCCGUAGCUGGUCUGAGAGGAUGAUCCGCCACACUGGAACUGAGACACGGUCCAGACUCCUACGGGAGGCAGCAGUGGGGAAUAUUGGACAAUGGGCGCAAGCCUGAUCCAGCCAUACCGCGUGGGUGAAGAAGGCCUUCGGGUUGUAAAGCCCUUUUGUUGGGAAAGAAAAGCAGCAGGUUAAUACCCCGCUGUUCUGACGGUACCCAAAGAAUAAGCACCGGCUAACUUCGUG
rnacentral:rRNA from 1 species